rnacentral:tRNA from 1 species
GGAGAGAUGACCGAGUGGUUGAAGGUGCACGAUUGGAAGUCGUGUGUGCCGAAAGACACCGGGGGUUCGAAUCCCCCUCUCUCCG